rnacentral:rRNA from 1 species
CCUACGGGAGGCAGCAGUAGGGAAUAUUGCUCAAUGGGGGAAACCCUGAAGCAGCAACGCCGCGUGGUGGAUGAAGGUUUUCGGAUUGUAAACUCCUUUUGUUAGAGAAGAUAAUGACGGUAUCUAACGAAUAAGCACCGGCUAACUCCGUGCCAGCAGCCGCGGUAAUACGGAGGGUGCAAGCGUUACUCGGAAUCACUGGGCGGAAAGAGCGCGUAGGCGGGAUAGCAAGUCAGAUGUGAAAUCCUAUGGCUUAACCAUAGAACUGCAUUUGAAACUGUUAUUCUAGAGUAUGGGAGAGGUAGGUGGAAUUCUUGGUGUAGGGGUAAAAUCCGUAGAGAUCAAGAGGAAUACUCAUUGCGAAGGCGACCUGCUAGAACAUAACUGACGCUGAUGCGCGAAAGCGUGGGGAGCAAACAGGAUUAGAUACCCCGGUAGUC